rnacentral:rRNA from 1 species
UACGUAGGUGGCAAGCGUUGUCCGGAAUUAUUGGGCGUAAAGCGCGCGCAGGCGGUCUCUUAAGUCUGAUGUGAAAGCCCACGGCUCAACCGUGGAGGGUCAUUGGAAACUGGGGGACUUGAGUACAGAAGAGGAAAGCGGAAUUCCACGUGUAGCGGUGAAAUGCGUAGAGAUGUGGAGGAACACCAGUGGCGAAGGCGGCUUUCUGGUCUGUAACUGACGCUGAGGCGCGAAAGCGUGGGGAGCAACAGG